GAAAGAUUAUUUGGAAAUUGAACGGAGAAUGAAGGAAUGGCCAGCAUGGUGGCAGACCUCACAAAUAGGAGACCAGUUAGUUUGGAGGCUAUAUUUCCUGAUAUCUUUGGACUUUGAAAGCAUCGUCAUUACUGUUGCUGGAAGGCAAUGUUAGCCUUGACAGAGGACAAUGUGAAGAAAUCACCUGGGCACAUAUUUGUCAUCCAAGGGGAUACUUCUGAAUGUUUUUCCACUGAAACAAUGAUCCCUCUUCCAUGCGUGGCACACUCCUGAGAAAAGGCCAGUUCUAUGAGGUAAAAUUUACGAGAUGCCAUGGGAAGGUGCUAAACACCUGUCAGUCUACAUAGAGAAGAUGAUAAGCAAGUAAAGUGAAGAGUGCAAAAGAUGGUCCAUCAUUGGGUAAGUGUUAUCUAUAAGUGACAAUUCCUGAACUAAUAUUACACUGCAUGUUAACCAACUAGAAU